GACGUAGGGCGCGAGCGUUGUCCGGAUUAUUGGGCGUAAAGAGCUCGUAGGCGGUCUGUCGCGUCGGUCGUGAAAACUUGGGGCUUAACCCUGAGCUUGCGGUCGAUACGGGCAUGACUGGAGUUCGGCAGGGGAGACUGGAAUUCCUGGUGUAGCGGUGGAAAUGCGCAGAUAUCAGGAGGAACACCGGUGGCGAAGGCGGGUCUCUGGGCCGAUACUGACGCUGAGGAGCGAAAGCGUGGGGAGCGAACAGG
rnacentral:rRNA from 1 species